CUACCACCUCGCGCUUCUCCCUCGAUUAUAACACGCGAAAUAUCGCUCUACGAGCAUCAUUUCGCUGCUCAGUCAAUUACAUCUCGUGGUUAACUAUUACAUUUCGCGAUCUGUCGAGACUAUAUUCAUUUACGGUUGAAACAGAGCGUUUAAAUGAAAUAUUUACUUUUCCGGUGGCGUGAGUUGGUCGGUCAGCUGGCGGCCAGGGGCGUGGCUUAACCUUCCGAGGUUAUAAAUAAAGGCGCGGCGCGUUUUUGGGGUAGUUAGUAGAGGUCCAUCGUAGGUGCCGCACGUGUCACUCCAGCAGGAUGUCGGCCACCACCACACAGCGUCUGGUGCCUAUCCGGCCGUCGCCCCACAAGAGCCUGACUGUCCCAAAGACCGUCACGGUGAUCACCACAGCCGGCUCCCCGGCCACCCUCACGCCGCCCAAGACCGGGAUUAAACGGAAGCUGUCGGAGACUAGCCCCGAUCCGGUGAAGUGCAAGAGACGUAUCAACUUCGGCGUCGGAUACGUCGUGUCGCCAGCGCCUGUGGCUGUGGCGCGGCGCAACGCGCGCGAGAGGAACCGGGUGAAGCAGGUCAACAACGGCUUCGCCACCCUCCGUCAGCACAUCCCCGGCGCCGCCAAAGCCAAGAAAAUCAGCAAGGUGGAGACGCUGAAGCAGGCAGUGGACUACAUCAGGUCACUUCAGGAGCUACUGGAGGACCAUGACUCUCUGAUGCGCCAUACCAACUCCAUCGUCGUGACCUCUGCGCAGUCCCCGGCGCCCAGGGCACAGUCUCUGCCCUACACCAACGCCGUUGCCCCUACCCAGUCCCAGUACCGCCUUAUCCAGUACCCCAGUUAUUACUACAGCGAGAACGUCUCUCCCGUGGCUGCGUCAGUGUACCCCAUGAGCGUGGCGUCAGUCUCCCCGACGUGCAGCGACGCCGCAGCCUCCCCAACGCCGUCCUACGACUCGGCUUUCUCUUCGGCGGAGGCGGUGACGACGGUGGGCAGCGUGACGGACGUGUUCUCCCCCGUCACCGUCACCACCACCACCAGCACCACCACCUCCCUGCCGGACACACUCGACGUCCUAGAUACCUACGACCCGGCCACCUCACCCGAAGACGAGGAAUUGCUCGACGCCAUCGCCCUCUGGCAGCAGUGUCAGUAGCAGAUGCUACAAAGGGAAACAUCUAGUCAUGCUUUUCUAUCAUCGUGCACUACUGGUCAAUUUCUCCAGUCCGGCAGCAAAGUUUCAGAGUGGUAUGUGAGAGUCGACGACGCUUCCAACAUCUCUCUCUCCAGGUCUACUCCCUUUCUUCCUUCAGUCCUACGGGAGAACCUCAUAUCUGUGCCUUCGCUAGUCUGCUACUGAACUGUGGUGUUCGCCACAACUUCAGGAAAGCAGAAAAACACCGGUUUGUCGCUGAGUCAUCAGCCGUGGAUGUUCGCUACCAGAUGCCCUUCCUUCAAACAGCCUAUUUCAUCACUGUCGUCAGGAAGGUCUCGUGAAGUCAUACGUCUCGUCUCUCACAUGUCCAGGAAAGCCCCCCGGUCUCUAGAUGAGGUCUAGUAUGAUGUCUCGAAGAUGGCAAUGAAGUAUUAUAUAAAAAAGCAGAUAACUAAUGUCGAAGGAAUGUCUCCCAGAGACUCCCUAAAUCCUUAUAUAAUAUUCAGGGCGUCCCGACCGAGUCCUGAUGAGCUUACUGAUACCAGAGAGUCCAGCCAACUCGCGAAAGGAGAAGAAAGGGGGGCUGCCCACUUUCUAAUGCUAAUAAUAACCGGCACACGAAACAAAUCCACAGAGUAAACCCGUGCCAGAAGACAAGAAAAGAUAAAGAGAAUAAGAAAAGCGAGUAGAGGAAGUAGAAGGGAGGAAGAAAGGCAGUGACCACGUAGGGAGACAGUGAGAGACGGAGUACAAACUGGCCUAUCAGGAAAACAGAAGCAUAACAGGACAUGAAGCCACGACGAAGGAAAACAUCAGACAUCUUGUAGUCUGAGAAGACCCCGGAAUGGUCUGAGAAGACCAAGGAUGGUUUAAGGGACCAGGAAUUAUCUGAACCGGGGACGGUCUGAUGAGACACUAAUCUACCCAACACCAGUAGUUUCAAGCAGAAUCUUCUCCAAAGAAAGCAUGGCAAGAUUUACUCAAAGAAUAAGACAUUAUAGCAUUUACGUACUCGUGGGUUGAAAGCAUUUUAUAAUAUAUAUUAUACAGCAUAUAUUUCCGUGGGAUGGGGUGGGGGUGGGAAGGCUUGUGAAUGUCUAGUCAAAAGUGCAGCAGAGCCUAAAGAAGACAUAAUUUACUUACGCCAAAGCUUCUUCAUGGGUGGUGGUGUCCAGGCUGUGUCUGCCUGCCUGCCUGCCUGCCUGUCUGUCUGUCUGUCUGUAAAUGGCCCUUCGAGGCCCCUACAAUUUCUAAUUUUACAGCAGUAAUGCUAUUCCUUACAUUAAGAAAUCCAACAUCAUGGCGACGUCGGUUAUACUAGUUAAGGGUUUGGAUAUAUCAACAAGCCGUAGCUGAUGAAAGAACUCGAGCAGCAAUUGGAAACUUUACUAGAGCUAUGUUUCUUUUGCAGAGCAGGCGAAACGUAGUCUUAUUACAGCUUACAAUUGCUGCUUGCUUGAGUUUAUCUAUCGGGGCGUUAUUUGGCCCUUGCUAAUAUGGAUGCAAGUUGAUCUCUUCCGUCUGACAGAGAUAUGGUGACGAGUAAUGCAGUUUAUCCUACGACAGCAGGCAAGCACUGACGGUCGUAGCAGUGUAGAAAUUGUCUAAGAUACUUUUGAUGAGAAAUAUUUUAUGUCGAAGCGCCAGAGAGACAAUUUCUACACUGCUACCCUACACCCAGAGGAACUAAAGAGUUAGCACGACAAAUUGUAUGUAAUAAUCUCAAGGUCUCGUUGAAGCCACGACGAGUCUCAGCCUAUUUUUAUAUCUUAAUCUUAAGCCAAAAAGCUAACAGUAUCAUAACAUGAAGACAUAUAACAAUCAUACAUACACACGCACACACAAUAUAUACAUAAUUUUAUUCAAAGUUGAUUCUCCUAAUUCCCUCCAUGUUGCUAAAACAAAAAUAUGUUAUUAGCUUUGUAACCCAUGCAGUGUGACUUUCCAAGUCCACCAGAUGUCGUAAAUAAAAGACAGCUGACUACCUUAGUGCCUUACGACCCUAAAGUCGGUUUCAUACAUUGCUUCCAAUUACUACUUAUGUGCCUUUUAAUGCCUUAUAAUUGUUAACUAACUCCAUGAGUAUUAUUGUAAUAUAACUUUUUAUAAUAUAUCGGUGAUCUCUUUUUUUUUGAUAUAUGAUUAUAGUCUAGUUGUUAUGGACAGUUUUCACUAAAAACAAUAUUGUGAUCUCCUUUGAUGCUGUCAUUGCUCAAGUGUCUUUGAGACACGUGAAGUUCUUAUUCGUAAAAAGACUCAAACAGUAUUUUAUUUAAUGUUAAGCAUGUGUGUAUCUUGCCUAUGGAAACCUGGGUAUGUACACUGGUAUCUCUCAGUGAGUAUAAAGAAAUACACUUAGAUGACAAGAGACAGAUGAUAUCUUGAUUUAAUAUCCGUUGUAACCACAGUGAAGAGCAGUGUUAUUAAUUCCACGAGCUUUCGUGAUCCCUCACAUGAAGGAAUAACAAAAGUAUUUGGAGUAUUGCUUUUUUUCACUUUGGUUAUAUGACAUAUGAAGGGAUGUGUUUCGUCUUGUGUAUCUCCCAGUGUAUAUAUAUACACCGAGAGGUGUAUAGUACCUCCAAGUGUGUGUGUAUAUAUACCGAGAGGUUUGUCUGUUUAUAUAAAUUGACAGAGGCGCAUCUCUGUGUAUAUACGCCAAGAUGUAUGCACCUUUGUGAAUAUACAAUGAGAAGUUGCUUUAAUCCUUGUCUAAGUGAUUACAGUGUCCUUAAUUAUUAUUUAGGAAAAUUGCGGCCUUAAUAACAGCCGGGUGGUCGACAGGCCUUAAACAUCAGUACAGAAAAGACACAGGUUGUUGAAGAGGCCCUCGCUGAGACAGCGUUUAGAUCUGUGAAGGUUUUUAUCUACCCACAACUUUAUAAUGCUCUACACAGCGAAACACUGUCCCAAUAAACGCUAGUUCUACAACCUGUAUCUCUUCCACACUACUGUUGGCAGGACGUCAACUGGGUUAGGCUGCACUCUAACACAUCAUCGAACCCAACUGUUCAGUAUUUCUGAGGUAUCAAUGGUUCAAUAAGAGAGCAUCUCACCUCAUACAAACUGCAUAGAAAAUAAGGAAGUAUGUUCUUUGUGGGCAUUUACACACACACACACACACACACACACACACACACACACACACACACACACACACACACACACACACACAACCAGUACAAGGUUGGCACACAGCCUCUUCAAAGUAUUUCAAAAAAAAAUCUAUAUCACACACAUGUGCAUACACGGCUUGUGUACAUUUAUGUAUGACAAUUCCGUCACGUCUAAUCCUGGUAUGCAAUUUCCAUACACAUUCCAUGUAUAUAUACAAACAUUCCUCUAAGCACAUUCCAUGUUUGCUUGGACCGUAUCCAGUGGUACGUUUAUGUAUAAUUAUUGUUGAAAUAUUUUUAUCAUGUUAAUUGUACCCACCAACUGUUCUCGUCUCUGGUAUAUCUCCUACCCUCGGCAGUAUGAGCCUACUGUGUAUAUCCUACGGGCUUUGCGCUUUCCUCACGAAUAUACCAAGAGGUGACAGGGGCCUACUGCAGAGCGUAAGGCUCAAUAUACCUCAAUGUUUCCGUACAUCGGUGUUAAGUGCACUUAUGCUUGUUAAGUUUCAAGCUACUUUGUGUAUAU